GACGAACGCUGGCGGCGUGCCUAAUACACGCAAGUCGAGCGAAUGACGAGAAGCUUGCUUCUCUGAUUUAGCGGCGGACGGGUGAGUAACACGUGGGCAACCUGCCCUACAGAUCGGGAUAACUCAGGGAAACCUGGGCUAAUACCGGAUAAUCCUUCGAAUCACAUGUUUUGAAGUUGAAAGGCGCUUCGGCGUCACUGUAGGAUGGGCCCGCGGUGCAUUAGCUAGUUGGUGGGGUAACGGCAUACCAAGGCAACGAUGCAUAGCCGACCUGAGAGGGUGAUCGGCCACAUUGGGACUGAGACACGGCCCAAACUCCUACGGGAGGCAGCAGUAGGGAAUCUUCCACAAUGGACGAAAGUCUGAUGGAGCAACGCCGCGUGAGUGAUGAAGGUUUUCGGAUCGUAAAACUCUGUUGUAAGGGAAGAACAAGUACGUUAGGAAAUGAACGUACCUUGACGGUACCUUAUUAGAAAGCCACGGCUAACUACGUGCCAGCCGCCGCCGUAA
rnacentral:rRNA from 1 species